CAGUGUGAGGCCUUCCCAACCUCUUUCGAGGGCGUCGUGUCAAACGGUCGGAAAAUUGUAUUCGCAACGGCCAUUUUGUCGACUAAAAAAACUAGAUCUACAAUGACGGUCGCCUGGUGUAGGUGAGGCGACGUCGACGUUGAGGAACCAAUCAUUGUUAACAAGUGUGAACACCGAUGUGAGCGGGUCUCCGGUAGCUUCCCUAGUUACGAAGAAGGGGUUCCAAUGAAGGGUCUGGGGAUUUGGGAGCAGCGAAGAAAAUUCUUGGCAUGGAUAUCCAACGUGAUCGUGGACAGAGAAGACUGGUCUUAACUCAAGAAAGCUACAUUAAGAAGGUCUUGGAGUAUUUUGACAUGAAUAAUGCCAAAUUAGUAAGUGUCCCUUUUGCUAGUCACUUUCGAUUAUCAGCUGGUCAGUCACCACAAUCAGUUGAAGAGGAAGAAGAAAUAGUGCGAGUUCCUUAUUCAAAUGCAGUCGGAAGUCUAAUGUACGCAAUGGUAUGCACCCGUCCAAAUAUUUCGCAGGCAGUCAGUGUUGUUAGCAUAAUUGUCUUGGAAAAGCACAUUGGCAGACUGUGAAGUGGAUUAUGAAAUACUUACAAUGUACUUCGAAUGCAUGUUUGGAGUUUGGAAGAAAUAGUAGCUCUCUGGUUGGAUAUGUAGAUUAUGAUUAUGUUGGCGAUCUCAAUAGAAGAUCUCUCUUAGGCUAUGUAUUUUGCAUUGGCGGUUGUGCAGUUAGCUGGAAAGCAUCUUUACAACCAGUUGUGGCAUUGUCUACUACAGAGGCAGAAUAUAUGGCAGUAACAGAGACAAUUAAAGAAGCUUUGUAGUUGAAAGGUCUUUUGGGCGAGCUCAAUCUACGUCAGUACUACUGUUAUUUAUUGUGACAGUUAAAGUGUGAUACACUUGACUAAAGACCAAAUACAUCAUGACAGAACGAAGCAUAUCAAUGUGAAGUAUCAUUUCAUCCGACAUAUCAUUGCUGAAAAGAAGGUCUGCGUUCAAAAAAUUGAUACAAAGGAGAACCCGCUGAUAUAUUUACAAAAUUUCUUCCAGUCCUUAAGUUCAAACAGUGCUUGAGUUGGAUUGAAGUUCAAUGUCGGUGAUUUAACCCGACGGGGCUUUUGUGAAGAAGGUGGAGCGGAGCAGGAGCAUACUCACUAUUUUGUCAAUGUUGGACACGCCAAGGUGGAGAUUUGUUAUGUGGCUUUGUCCCACGUUGGAAUAUUUUAAAAAUUGAAGAAAAAUAUUGUCCCACAUUGCUUGUGGUGACAAAGUUGUCAUAAGUCUUCUCCUAUAAAUUUGUAGCCGUGGGUUGAGCUUUAAGACACACCAAAAUUAGACAAGUAGUCUUUCCAUAUAUAUUCGUGGGUUACUUGUUUUGCGUUGAGGGUGUUUUGGGAGAUAGAGAGUUGUGGGCUUCAGAAUUGUUAUUCGAGCCUAUUUUGUAUUCCUCGUUUGAUAGUGAAAAGUUUGCUCCGUCUUUGCCCGUGGAUGUAGGUCAUCUUGACCGAACCAUAUAUAUUCUUGUGUCGUUUAAAUUUCUCGUUU